rnacentral:snRNA from 1 species
GAUGAUUCCGACCCCUGAUCGUAUAUUAAAACUGACACAUUGAAGAGAAGAUCGGCAUGGCUCCUGUACAAGGAUGGCACAUAAGAAAAGCGUAUAUUUUACAAUCGUU